rnacentral:rRNA from 1 species
AAUGAACGCUGGCGGCAUGCCUUACACAUGCAAGUCGAACGGCAGCAUGACCUAGCUUGCUAGGUUGAUGGCGAGUGGCGACCGGGUGAGUAAUGCAUCGGAACGUGCCUUUUAGUGGGGGAUAACGUAGCGAAAGUUACGCUAAUACCGCAUAUUCUCUGAGGAGGAAAGCAGGGGACCUUCAGGCCUUGCGCUAGAAGAGCGGCCGAUGUCGGAUUAGCUAGUUGGUGAGGUAAAGGCUCACCAAGGCAACGAUCCGUAGCGGGUCUGAGAGGAUGAUCCGCCACACUGGGACUGAGACAAGGCCCAGACUCCUACGGGAGGCAGCAGUGGGGAAUUUUGGACAAUGGGCGCAAGCCUGAUCCAGCCAUGCCGCGUGAGUGAAGAAGGCCUUCGGGUUGUAAAGCUCUUUCGGCUGGGAAGAAAUCGCACCCUCUAAUACAGGGUGUGGAUGACGGUACCAGCAUAAGAAGCACCGGCUAACUACGUG